rnacentral:rRNA from 1 species
ACGGAAGGCAGCAGUGGGGGAUAUUGGACAAUGGGGGAAACCCUGAUCCAGCGACGCCGCGUGAGUGAAGAAGUAUUUCGGUAUGUAAAGCUUUAUCAGCAGGGAAGAAAAAAUCAAAAUUGACUGUACCUGACUAAGAAGCCCCGGCUAACUACGUGCCAGCAGCCGCGGUAAUACGUAGGGGGCAAGCGUUAUCCGGAUUUACUGGGUGUAAAGGGAGCGUAGGCGGUACGGCAAGUCAGGUGUGAAAUCCCAGGGCGCAACCCUGGUACUGCACUUGAAACUGUCGAACUAGAGUAUCGGAGAGGUUAGUGGAAUUCCUAGUGUAGCGGUGAAAUGCGUAGAUAUUAGGAGGAACACCGGUGGCGAAGGCGGCUAAUUGGACGAUAACUGACGCUGAGGCUCGAAAGCGUGGGGAGCAAACAGGAUUAGAUACCCUGGUA